rnacentral:rRNA from 1 species
GAUGAACGCUGGCGGCGUGCUUAACACAUGCAAGUCGAACGAGAAGUGGAGACGGAAACCUUCGGGCGGAAGACUUUAUUUCGAGUGGCGGACGGGUGAGUAACGCGUGGGUAACCUGCCUCAUACAGGGGGAUAACAGUUGGAAACGACUGUUAAUACCGCAUAAGACCACAGCACCGCAUGGUGCGGGGGUAAAAACUCCGGUGGUAUGAGAUGGACCCGCGUUCGAUUAGCCAGUUGGCGGGGUAACGGCCCACCAAAGCGACGAUCGAUAGCCGAUCUGAGAGGAUGACCGGCCACAUUGGGACUGAGACACGGCCCAAACUCCUACGGGAGGCAGCAGUGAGGAAUAUUGCACAAUGGGGGAAACCCUGAUGCAGCGACGCCGCGUGAGUGAAGAAGUAUUUCGGUAUGUAAAGCUCUAUCAGCAGGGAAGAAAAUGACGGUACCUGAGUAAGAAGCCCCGGCUAACUACGUGC